UCCUACGGGAGGCAGCAGUGGGGAAUAUUGGACAAUGGGCGAAAGCCUGAUCCAGCCAUGCCGCGUGUGUGAAGAAGGUCUUCGGAUUGUAAAGCACUUUAAGUUGGGAGGAAGGGUUGUAGAUUAAUACUCUGCAAUUUUGACGUUACCGACAGAAUAAGCACCGGCUAACUUCGUGCCAGCAGCCGCGGUA
rnacentral:rRNA from 1 species